rnacentral:rRNA from 1 species
UACGUAGGGUGCGAGCGUUGUCCGGAAUUACUGGGCGUAAAGAGCUCGUAGGCGGUGUGUCGCGUCGGCCGUGAAAACCUGCAGCUUAACUGUGGGCUUGCGGUCGAUACGGGCAUCACUGGAGUUCGGCAGGGGAGACUGGAAUUCCUGGUGUAGCGGUGAAAUGCGCAGAUAUCAGGAGGAACACCAGUGGCGAAGGCGGCUCACUGGCCCGAUACUGACGCUGAGGCACGAAAGCGUGGGGAGCAAACAGG